ensembl:lncRNA
CCAGAGACCCCUAUGCGGACAGGGCGGCGCCGCCUCCACCACCUGCGCGCUACUCGUAUUAAAGUGCACCACUGCGCUUUUGUAAUCCAAGGUGUAAAUUAUUCAACAAGAUCGUCGUCGUCGUCGUCUCCAGGUGCACGUGCCGCGAUACGUCUUUGUCUGCCAGAGCGCGUUUCGUUCGCCUGCGCACCAUAGUGGAAGAGUUCUGUUGCAGACUGCACAUUCUAUAAAACUACCGCUUUUACACGCAUAAAAUCGUCCUCAUGCUAAAUUGUCAACUCUGCUUUAUUUUAUUUUAUUUUUUUGCCUUGUUUUUAUUGUUUAACAUUUGAUAGGUGAGAGAGGCACUAAGCCAGAGCACGUCAAUUAGGUUAACUUGGUGGUUUGGUAAAGACUAUGAAAGGAACGCAUAUUAAAAAUUCUUCUUUCAAAGAACACUUCAAUGUAUCUCACUGUACAUUUUUACCUUUAAAAUCUGGAAUGAGCUUAUCGUUUGUUAUUAAACUACUGUAACGAGCACUAUUCCAUAACUUUGAUUUUGAACCAAAAAUUCAUUUGUGUAAUUCAUUUUUUUUUUCUCGCUCUUUUUUUUUUUUUUUUUUCCCUCUAAGCUAUUUGUUAAAGUGCGGCAUGCAAGUAAAAAUACAUUCUCCACAGCAAUAAAACCUUUCCGUCUACUGGCUUUAUUGAAAUUGUGCUGUAGUGUGGAUUUUAGUUGCAGAGUAUCGAAGUUAAAGGACUUUGUAUCAUUUUCUUUCAUAGGAACACUUAACAGUUUUAAUAAAAAGACUGGAACUUGGUCCGUCAUUUUGCUUUUCUUGCUAACCUUUUAAACUCAACAUGCCUAAAUAGGCAUAAAAGUAACUAUACUAGACAUGUAUUCGAAUUAAAACCCAUAACAUCAUGCUUCCUAGUUUGAGUAUCACGGAGAAUGGAACUGCUUCUGCGGCGAAAUGAAAGCGAUUAUACCAUCACUUCGUCUUCAAGGCUAUUCUUUUGCUCUAAACCAGGGGUAGGCAAGUUCGGUCCUAGAGAGCCGCAGUCCUGCAGAGUUCAGCUCCAACCCUAAUCAAACACACCUGAACAAGCUAAUCAAUGUCUUCAGGAUUACUAAGGCUAUAGGCAGGUGAGUUUUUCUUUUCUUUUCAGGGUUGAAGCUGAACUCUGCAGGACUGCGGCUCUCUAGGACCGAACUUGCCUACCCCUGCUCUAAACCAUUGGCGUCUCAAUAUUCCUGGUCUGUCCAAAUAAUCCUAUCAUUUUGAUUCAUUAAGUGGAUCGACUUCCCAAUGUUUUCUUAAACAAUCAGUGGUCCUUUUUAAGUUUGAUUAUGCCAGGUAAGUCACUUGUUGCAUUUAGUUUCUUUACCACUCAGCAUGCCUUUCACUACUUAAUUGUUUCAAGGUAUAGCUUUAGUACACCGACUGUAUAUGUGUCUCAGUGAAAUGUAUUUGGGUCCAUAUGUUUUCCUCAUGCAAGUGAUGAUAUACUUUAGGAUGAACUCAUGCCUGAGGGUAAGUUUUAGGUUAACUUAUGCAUUUCCCCCUUUCUCUUAGUUCUGUAUUUAUUUUACAAUAAAAUGUGUAGUUAUGGCUGUUCGUUCAUUUAUUUGUGGGACACCAAAUGCAUGUGCCUCUUUUGGCAAUGAUCUCAACAUAAAGUUUUAUUUAUUUUCCAUUUAAGGUGAAUGCACUUUCAAUAAACCAAUAAAACAUUUUCCCCCCUGCCCAAACUACGUGUUGGUGGUUAUUUUUUAA